rnacentral:snRNA from 1 species
AUAUGUGAGGGUGAUCUGGCUGCAACUGUCACCCCAUUGAUCACCAGGGUUGAUUCGGCUGAUCUGGCUGGCUAGGCAGGUGUCCCCUUCCUCCCUCACUGCUCCAUGUGCAUCCCUCCCAAAGCUGUGCGCUCAGUCGAAGAGGAAGACCUUCCCCGAUAGAGACGGUACCGUUCAUCAGUCAAGGGUAUACGGUAGCUGCGCUCCCCUGCUAGAACCUCCAAACAAGCUCAAGGUCCAUUUGUAGGAGAAUGUAGGGUAGUCAAGCUUCCAAGACUGCAGACACAUCCAAGUGAGGCACUGCAUGGGGAAGUCUGCCAUUGUUU